UAGUGAUUUGAUCCUGGCUCAGGAUGAACGCUAGCGGCAGGCCCAAUACAUGCAAGUCGAACGGGCAGCAAUGUCAGUGGCGAACGGGUGCGUAACGCGUAAGGAACCUGCCCCUCACUGGGGGAUAGCUUUGCGAAAGCGAAGGUAAACCCGCAUAGUUCAGUCGAACGGCAUCGUUCGACUGAUAAACAUUUAUGGGUGAGGGAGGGUCUUGCGUCUGAUUAGUUAGUUGGCAGGGUAACGGCAUACCAAGACGAUGAUCAGUAGGGGUUCUGAGAGGAACGGCCCCACAUGGACACUGAGACACGGGUCCAACGU
rnacentral:rRNA from 1 species